GACGAACGCUGGCGGCGUGCCUAAUACAUGCAAGUAGAACGCUGAAGAGAGGAGCUUGCUCUUCUUGGAUGAGUUGCGAACGGGUGAGUAACGCGUAGGUAACCUGCCUUGUAGCGGGGGAUAACUAUUGGAAACGAUAGCUAAUACCGCAUAACAAUGGAUGACCCAUGUCAUUUAUUUGAAAGGGGCAAAUGCUCCACUACAAGAUGGACCUGCGUUGUAUUAGCUAGUGGGUGAGGUAACGGCUCACCUAGGCGACGAUACAUAGCCGACCUGAGAGGGUGAUCGGCCACACUGGGACUGAGACACGGCCCAGACUCCUACGGGAGGCAGCAGUAGGGAAUCUUCGGCAAUGGGGGCAACCCUGACCGAGCAACGCCGCGUGAGUGAAGAAGGUGUUCGGAUCGUAAAGCUCUGUUGUAAGUCAAGAACGAGUGUGAGAGUGGAAAGUUCACACUGUGACGGUAGCUUACCAGAAAGGGACGGCUAACUACGUG
rnacentral:rRNA from 1 species